rnacentral:rRNA from 1 species
AUUGAACGCUGGCGGCAUGCUUUACACAUGCAAGUCGAACGGCAGCACGGGAGCUUGCUCCUGGUGGCGAGUGGCGAACGGGUGAGUAAUGCGUCGGAACGUGCCGAGUAAUGGGGGAUAACGCUUCGAAAGGAGUGCUAAUACCGCAUACGCUCUGAGGAGGAAAGCGGGGGACCUUCGGGCCUCGCGUUAUUCGAGCGGCCGACGUCGGAUUAGCUAGUUGGUGGGGUAAAGGCUUACCAAGGCGACGAUCCGUAGCGGGUCUGAGAGGACGACCAGCCACACUGGAACCUGAGACACGGUCCAGACUCCUACGGGAGCAGCAGUGGGGAAUUUGGACAAUGGGCGCAAGCCUGAUCCAGCCAUUCCGCGUGCAGGAUGAAGGCCUUCGGGUUGUAAACUGCUUUUGUACGGAACGAACGGCGAGCUCUAAUACAGUUUGCUAAUGACGUACGUAGAAUAAGCACCGGCUAACUACGUGCCUAGCAGCCGCGGUAAGAGUA